CAGUAGCCGCGGUAAUACGAAGGGUGCAAGCGUUACUCGGAAUUACUGGGCGUAAAGCGUGCGUAGGUGGUGGUUUAAGUCCGUUGUGAAAGCCCUGGGCUCAACCUGGGAAUUGCAGUGGAUACUGGGUCACUAGAGUGUGGUAGAGGAUAGUGGAAUUUCCGGUGUAGCAGUGAAAUGCGUAGAGAUCGGAAGGAACAUCUGUGGCGAAGGCGACUAUCUGGGCCAACACUGACACUGAGGCACGAAAGCGUGGGGAGCAAACAGGAUUAGAUACCCCCGUAGUCCUGUCUCUUAUACC
rnacentral:rRNA from 1 species